UACGGGGGGGGCAAGCGUUGUUCGGAAUUACUGGGCGUAAAGGGCUCGUAGGCGGCCAACUAAGUCACACGUGAAAUCCCUCGGCUCAACCGGGGAACUGCGUGUGAGACUGGAUGGCUUGAGUUUGGGAGAGGAAUGCGGAAUUCCAGGUGUAGCGGUGAAAUGCGUAGAUAUCUGGAGGAACACCGGUGGCGAGGGCGGCAUUCUGGACCAACACUGACGCUGAGGAGCGAAAGCCAGGGGAGCAAACAGG
rnacentral:rRNA from 1 species